CAUAUCAAUAAGCGGAGGAAAAGAAACCAACAGGGAUUGCCCCAGUAACGGCGAGUGAAGCGGCAACAGCUCAAAUUUGAAAUCUGGCUCUCGGGCCCGAGUUGUAAUUUGUAGAGGAUGCUUUUGGUGAGGUGCCUUCCGAGUUCCCUGGAACGGGACGCCAUAGAGGGUGAGAGCCCCGUCUGGUUGGACACCGAUCCUCUGUAAAGCUCCUUCGACGAGUCGAGUAGUUUGGGAAUGCUGCUCUAAAUGGGAGGUAUAUGUCUUCUAAAGCUAAAUACCGGCCAGAGACCGAUAGCGCACAAGUAGAGUGAUCGAAAGAUGAAAAGAACUUUGAAAAGAGAGUUAAAAAGUACGUGAAAUUGUUGAAAGGGAAGCGCUUGUGACCAGACUUGGGCUUGGUUGAUCAUCCGGGGUUCUCCCCGGUGCACUCUUCCGGCCCAGGCCAGCAUCAGUUCGCCCUGGGGGACAAAGGCUUCGGGAAUGUGGCUCUCUCCGGGGAGUGUUAUAGCCCGUUGCGUAAUACCCUGUGGCGGACUGAGGUUCGCGCAU
rnacentral:rRNA from 1 species